rnacentral:rRNA from 1 species
GCCAGACUCCUACGGGAGGCAGCAGUGAGGAAUAUUGGUCAAUGGUCGGGAGACUGAACCAGCCAAGCCGCGUGAGGGAGGAAGGUACAGAGUAUCGUAAACCUCUUUUGUCAGGGAACAAAGACUGGGACGCGUCCCCGGAUGAGUGUACCUGAAGAAAAAGCAUCGGCUAACUCCGUGCCAGCAGCCGCGGUAAUACGGAGGAUGCGAGCGUUAUCCGGAUUUAUUGGGUUUAAAGGGUGCGCAGGCGGCUGUGUAAGCGAGGGGCGAAAGCCGGGGGCGCACCCCCGGCCCGCCGUUGAAACUGGCAGUCUCGAGUUGGAGAGAAGUAUGCGGAAUGCGCAGUGUAGCGGUGAAAUGCAUAGAUAUUGCGCAGAACUCCGAUUGCGAAGGCAGCCUACCGGCGCCUGUCUGACGCUGAGGCACGAAAGCGUGGGUAUCGAACAGGAUUAGAUACCCGCGUACA